rnacentral:rRNA from 1 species
GAUGAACGCUGGCGGCGUGCCUAAUACAUGCAAGUAGAACGCAGUUGCGAACGGGUGAGUAACGCGUAGGUAACUGCCUCAUAGCGGGGGAAAACUAUUGGAAACGAUAGCUAAUACCGCAUACUGUGAGAUGGACCUGAGUUGUAUUAGGUAGUUGGUGGGGUAAAGGCUCACCAAGGCGACGAUACAUAGCCGACCUGAGAGGGUGAUCGGCCAAACAUGGACCUGGACACGGCUCAGACUCCUACCGGAGGCAGCAGUAGGGAAUCUUCGGCAAUGGACGGAAGUCUGGACGAGCCACUGCGCGUGAGUGAAGAAGGUUUUCGGAUCGUAAAGGUCUGUUGUUCGAGAAGCGUUAACUAACCAGAAAGCGACGGCUAACUACGUGCCAGCCGCCGCGGUAAUUC